AUUCACACCACCGCGCCUUUACUGCCUUCUUUGAACCACCCUAAUGUCUGACGGCACCGAACUACAAUCGAGACGGUCAUCUGCACUGGGUGGUAUUGAACACAACACGGAGUGACAGUCUUCACUGUCACGCGGUGAGUCAACGAAAAACGUACCUAAAUGAUAUGUCAAUUGUCAUAUAGUGUAGAAAUGCUAAGACUCGCCAAGAUUAAGUGCAUUUAUUUUGUGCAAAUUUACUACAGAUUAUUGCUUAAACAAAGUGAAUUCCUUAUUAUUCUUACAAGAUACGUUGAAAUCCAACACCAAUAGUUCUAUAACCUAAAAGUCGCAUACACAGAAAUUACAUCUGCUACUACUGCAAAGUACGGCAGGUUAAACAGUCGACUGUUGCGACUAAGUACGGAACGUGUUUUGCACAAAACAAUCGAUGCCCAGGACACAAUACGAGUAGAUUUGACUUGACUUGACACGGAGGGAAACGAUACAGCAAAUUGGGACUAAACGUAAGUUUAUUUACAAAAGAACAUGAAACAAGUACUUAUAACUAUUAUUAUCUACACACACAUGAAUUCACACGUUAAAAUUGUAUAAUUUCUCAGGAUAAUAAUAAUUCAUCCGGAUUGUAACCAAACCAUAAGCUGCGGUUGUUUCAUUUCCGGUAUUAUUAUUGCGGAACCUCCUGAAUCUGUUG